rnacentral:rRNA from 1 species
AGAGGUGCGAGCGUUAAUCGGAAUUACUGGGGCGUAAAGGGGCGCGUAGGUGGAUAGUCAAGUCAGUUGUGAAAGGGCCUGGGGCUCAACCUGGGGAACUGCAAUUGAGACUGGUUGUCUAGAGUCGAAUAGAGGGGAGCGGAAUUUCCGGUGUAGCGGUGAAAUGCGUAGAUAUCGGAAGGAACACCAGUGGCGAAGGCGGCUCUCUGGAUUCAGACUGACACUGAGGCGCGAAAGCGUGGGUAGCGAACAGGAUUAGAUACCCUGGUAGUCCACGCUGUAAACGAUGAGUACUAGCUGUUGGCAGGCAUGACCUGUCAGUAGCGGAGCAAACGCAUUAAGUACUCCGCCUGGGGACUACGGCCGCAAAGGCUAA